rnacentral:rRNA from 1 species
ACUGCUCAGUAACACGUGGACAACCUACCCUUGGGUCUGGCAUAAUCCUGGGAAACUGGGUAUAAUUCCAGAUAGGUCACAGAUGCUGGAAUGCACUGCGGCCGAAAGCUCCGGCGCCCAAGGAUGGGUCUGCGGCCUAUCAGGGUUGUAGUGGGUGUAACGGACCUACUAGCCUACGACGGGUACGGGUUGUGAGAGCAAGAGCCCGGAGAUGGAUUCUGAGACACGAAUCCAGGCCCUACGGGGUGCAGCAGGCGCGAAAACUUUACAAUGCGGGAAACCGUGAUAAGGGAAUCUCGAGUGCCAGCAUAUAAUGUUGGCUGUCCAGAUGCCUAAAAAGCAUCUGUUAGCAAGGGCCGGGCAAGACCGGUGCCAGCCGCCGCGGUAACACCGGCGGCCCGAGUGGUAACCGCUUUUAUUGGGUCUAAAGGGUCUGUAGCCGGCCAAGUAAGUCCCUUGGGAAAUCUGGCAGCUUAACUGUCAGGCUGCUAGGGGAUACUGCUAGGCUUGGGACCGGGAGAGGUGAGAGGUACCUUGGGGGUAGGGGUGAAAUCUUGUGAUCCUCGGGGGACCACCAGUGGCGAAGGCGUCUCACCAGAACGGGUCCGACGGUAAGGGACGAAAGCUAGGGGCACGAACCGGAUUAGAUACCCGGGUAGUCCUAGCCGUAAACGAUGCUCGCUAGGUGUCAGUCACGGUGCGACCGUGAUUGGUGCCGUAGGGAAGCCGUGAAGCGAGCCACCUGGGGAAGUAUGGCCGCAAGGCUGAAACUUAAAGGAAUUGGCGGGGGAGCAC